rnacentral:lncRNA from 1 species
UUUCUGUGUGUUCUAUCUCUGAUCUAUGUGUCUAUUUAGUCAACGAAUAUUUAUCAAGGGGUUGUCAGGAGGUCACUUCUGAGGAGGCAAGUCUUAAACGAGGCUAGCAAGGAUGGUCAGCCACUUCCAGAGCUUGGGAAGAGUGUUCUUGGUGGACGGAACAGUGUAGUCUUGUUGGUAACCACUUGCCUCUGGCUCUCUGUGCCUGGAGAAUAGUGUUUCUGUGUCUUUUUUGUCUGUAGUCUCUGUGAUCCUGGGAGCCCUGGGGCCAGUUUAAACAGGGCCCCAUCAGGGUCUCUGGAAGUGAGGUCACUGCCCAGCAGAUUCACCCCACUGGCUAACUCUGGCUUAACUGGCUGGGCCUGGCCAUUCCCCUGGAAGCAACUCCUCCCCACAACAGCAUCAGUCCCACGACCUCUGGCUCCUUCCCAGGGCAGCAUCCUGCAGUCCGGGCUGACCCUUCAGCAACGGGUCCUGGCCUAGACGGAGAGCC